rfam:Prunus persica cultivar Lovell chromosome G8, whole genome shotgun sequence.
CAAUGAGAUGAUGAUUGAACUUUGUUUCCCUAUUGGUUUGAUUGCCGUCAUGAUGGCAUCUAUGUAUUAGCUCUAUCUGAUCAUUC